CCUACGGGACGCAGCAGUGAGGAAUAUUGGUCAAUGGACGCAAGUCUGAACCAGCCAUGCCGCGUGCAGGAUGACGGCUCUAUGAGUUGUAAACUGCUUUUGUACGAGGGUAAACCCCGAUACGUGUAUCGGGUUGAAAGUAUCGUACGAAUAAGGAUCGGCUAACUCCGUGCCAGCAGCCGCGGUAAUACGGAGGAUCCGAGCGUUAUCCGGAUUUAUUGGGUUUAAAGGGUGCGCAGGCGGCCUGUUAAGUCAGCGGUAAAAGCCCGGGGCUCAACCUCGGCGAGCCGUUGAAACUGGCGGGC
rnacentral:rRNA from 1 species